CGAAUGAACUAGCCCCGAAAAUGGAUGGCGCUUAAGCGUGCGACCGAUACUCGACCAUUGCGGCGAGAGUGAGGCUGCAAUGAGUAGGAGGGCGUGAGCGUUGUUGUGAAGCCUCUGACGUGAGUCUGGGUUGAACAGCGUUUAGUGCGGAUCUUGGUGGUAGUAGCAAUUAUUCAAAUGAGAACUUUGAAGGCCGAAGUGGAGAAGGUUUCCGUGAGAACAGCAAUUGGUCACGGGUGACUCGAUCCUAAGACAUGGGGGAAAUCCUUGUUAAGUGCGCCGUAUGGCGCGAAGUCGAAAGGGAAUGAGGUUAAUAUUCCUCAAGCUGGAUGUGGAUAUUGUAUGGCAACAUGAAUGAGCUCAGAGACGCCAGCGUGAGCCUCUGGAAGAGUUCUCUUUUCUUUUUAACAGAUUAGCGACCUUGAAAUUGGAUUACCCAGAGCUAAGGUUGUACAUCUGGAAGAGCACCUCGCUUUUCGAGGUGUCAGGUGCGCUCACGAUGGUCCGUGAAAAUCUGAGUGAGAGUUCUAUUUCACACCAGGUCGUACCCAUAACCGC
rnacentral:rRNA from 1 species